GUCCACUGGGGAAGGGGAAAUGUUGGGCGGCGCUGGUGGACGGGAGACCCACGCCACACGAAUUGAGCAAGAGCUCCCCUCCUCUGUCGCGAGCGAGCUCUGGCCAGGGAGCCCACGACAGGUAACUUGCACCAAAGGAAGAAGGGAGGAGGUUGCCGGGUGAGGCCCGGCGAGCCUGUCCCAACGCUAGCGGCUCUGACCUGUGUUCCUCCGUCCUGGAGUGGCCUCGGGCAAGACUGGAUCCGCGCGUAGAUGGGGGUAUCCUAGUGGUGGUGGGGGGCGGCGCGGGAUCCUGGUGGUGGUGGGCGGCGGCGCGAGAUUCUGGUGGUGGCCAGUGGCAGCGCAAGGUCCUGGUGGUCGCCGGCAGCGCGUGUCGCUGGGGCUCGCGGAUCCCAGAGAAAGGGGCGGUGGCCCACUAGGGGGUGGGGGCAGGCCGGCGUCGGUGGGUUGGGCGGCGGUGACGGGCGGAGGCGACGGGGAUCCGCGACGGCGGCGAUUGGAGGCGGUGGCGAUCCGCGGCGGCUGCGGGUGGAGGCAGGCGUGGGAAGGUUGGGGGAAGGCUACGGCGAAGGUGGUGCUCGGGUGCGCCGGUCCGGGGGUUUUUCUUUUCUCGGAGAGGACCUCGUCGCCCUACAUAGGGACACCGUGAUUCCGAAUGAUUAUUCUAAUCGCAGGAUUAAAAUAGUGCACUAUAUAUAUAUAUAUAAAGAGUAGCACUAUUCUGAUUAUGGGAUUAGAAUAGUUUUUCUGAUCACGAUCAGCCUAUAAGAGCGCCACCGACACGUUCCCCGUUCCGAAACUCCCGAACUAGCAGCGAAGCAAAAAAGAAAACGCACAAACAGAAAAAAAAAGUUUCAUCCCCACUAACCUCGUCCUGCCACCACCCCGAUUCCCCACCAUCCCGAUCCGGCGCGCCUCCACCCACCGCCGCCAGCCGCAGCGCCCCCCCCAGCCCCUGCCGUCGGCGGGGCCUCCCCCCAACCCCCACGAGCCACGUCCUCCCGAGCUACCCAAUUCACCGUCGUGGUCCGCCUCAACCUCCCACCAGCCUCCUCCCGUGCCGCCGCCGCUGGCCUCCUCCCGCCGGCCUCCUCCCACGCUACUGUCGGCCUCCUCCCGCGACGCUGCCGCCGGCCUCUCAAUCACGCAAGCUGUCGUCUCCAGGACCGGGAUGCAGGCCCAGGUCUCUGGCGAAGCCGCCGUCCAGGGGCCCGACGCCUUGGUCUCGUGACCUCCACGCUACCGUCGUCCUCACCACAAGCCACUACGGGCGCCGUCGCCCCCGGCCCUGCACUCCACCGCCGCACCCUGCCUUCUUCCCUCGGCAGCUGCUCCACAUUGCAUCCGCCCGACGCCGCGGCGCCCCCAACCCAUCUGCUUUCCCCAACCCCUGAACCUUCGUCUACUGGUUGACCUUCUCGCAAAGGCCACCUCGACCUUCUCGAGGAAGGUUGCUUCCGGGGAUCCGGCUCGCAGGGUGCACGCAAUCUCAUCGUAGCUUGUCGCUGUUGGGUGAAGAUCCGCCGGCCUGAAGACGCAAGAGGAGCAAAGGGGAUACAGAGCAUGUGUAGAACAUGGACUGCUCGCACGCGCCGCCACGGACUGCUUCGCUGCCAUCCUCGUCGUGCUGUGUCCACGGGGCUCCUUGACCCAUCGACGGCGACAACUGCACACAGCCCCUGCUCCUCAACUCCGACGGCCGUGCAGGCAGCCAUCCCACCUGGAGGCCGACACCAUGCUGGCUGAUUGCUUCCACUCACGUGCUUGCGAAUGGAUGGUGCCUGAGGAUAUUCAUUUGCUUUAGUGA